AUGAAGUAUAGCAGUGCCACCCAAUGCAACAGGGACCUGUUUCAUACUCGGUGAGGGGACUUGGUACUCUGAAGUGGAAAGACCAUUUAAUAUCAACCAGUCGCUGACUUUUCGGGCUGGAAGGCCUGUGAAUAUGUACUCCUGAGGGUCUGAGACUACAACUGGGAGAAUUCAGGUUCCCCAGAAUCCUAAAGUUACAGCAGAGAAUAUGAGCCAGGGUCUUAAAGGACUUGCUCAACUUGGACAAGAACAACAACAAAGAACAAAGCCCAGGACACUGGUUAUUUGUGCCAGUCAGAGGGCAGACGAGGAGACUCUUCCAAACUGAACUGCACAGAUUCUUGCUCCUUCCAUGCCCCAGAGAGCUUCAGGACAGCGCUGUGAGAAGCUGGGGGUUUGCAGCCGCAGUGAAUUUUACACAAAGCCUGACACAAGGGUGACUUGAGUUUCUGUGACGCGUGGCAGCUGUCCUUGCUCAGAACAGUCGAUCCCAAACCAGGAGCAAGUGAGAGACCUUAAUGACUUUUACUACCUAACUCUGAAAACCACA
rnacentral:lncRNA from 1 species